rnacentral:rRNA from 1 species
UACGGAGGAUGCAAGCGUUAUCCGGAAUGAUUGGGCGUAAAGCGUCCGCAGGUGGCGAUGUAAGUCUGCUGUUAAAGAGUGAGGCUCAACCUCAUAAGAGCAGUGGAAACUACAUAGCUAGAGUACGUUCGGGGCAGAGGGAAUUCCUGGUGUAGCGGUGAAAUGCGUAGAGAUCAGGAAGAACACCAGUGGCGAAGGCGCUCUGCUAGGCCGUAACUGACACUGAGGAGCGAAAGCGUGGGGAGCGAACAGG